rnacentral:rRNA from 1 species
UUACGGCCGCAAAGCUGAAACUUAAAGGAAUUGACGGAAGGGCACCAUCAGGUCUGGAUUGUGCGGCUCAAUUGGAUUCAACGCCCGAAACCCCACCAGGACAGGAGCGCUCGAUGAAGCACCGGCCGAAUACCUCUGCCGAUGAGCGUGCAGUUGGUGCAUGGCCGCCGUAGUUCGUGAGGUGACUUGUCUGGUUUAUUCCGACAACGAACGCAACCACAAUGCUCUACUAUCCGGCGAGCCCCUCGCGGGUCCGCAAGAAACUGGAGCAGACCAAUCGCUCGACGGGCUCAGCCCAAGGCGAAGGAAGCUAUGGCGAUGGCAGGUCUGUGAUGCCGCUAGAUGCCCUGGAUCGCACGCGCAAUACAAUGGCGACCCAAGCGCGCAGGUUCGUCCGAGAGGACUUACAAAUCGCACGAAAAGUCGGC